rnacentral:rRNA from 1 species
AGCGAACGCUGGCGGUAGGCCUAACACAUGCAAGUCGAACGGCAGCACAGUAAGAGCUUGCUCUUACGGGUGGCGAGUGGCGGACGGGUGAGGAAUACAUCGGAAUCUACUUUUUCGUGGGGGAUAACGUAGGGAAACUUACGCUAAUACCGCAUACGACCUACGGGUGAAAGCAGGGGAUCUUCGGACCUUGCGCGAUUGAAUGAGCCGAUGUCGGAUUAGCUAGUUGGCGGGGUAAAGGCCCACCAAGGCGACGAUCCGUAGCUGGUCUGAGAGGAUGAUCAGCCACACUGGAACUGAGACACGGUCCAGACUCCUACGGGAGGCAGCAGUGGGGAAUAUUGGACAAUGGGCGCAAGCCUGAUCCGGCCAUACCGCGUGGGUGAAGAAGGCCUUCGGGUUGUAAAGCCCUUUUGUUGGGAAAGAAAAGCAGCAGGUUAAUACCCCGCUGUUCUGACGGUACCCAAAGAAUAAGCACCGGCGAACUUCGU